rnacentral:rRNA from 1 species
AUUGAACGCUGGCGGCAGGCCUAACACAUGCAAGUCGAACGAGUGGCGGACGGGUGAGUAAUGUCUGGGCAACUGCCCGAUGGAGGGGGAUAACUACUGGAAACGGUAGCUAAUACCGCAUACCAUCGGAUUUGCCCAGAUGGGAUUAGCUAGUAGGUGGGGUAAUGGCUCACCUAGGCGACGAUCCCUAGCUGGUCUGAGAGGAUGACAAGCCACACGGGAAGUGAGAAAGGGUCCAGACUCCUACGGGAGGAAGCAGUGGGGAAUAUGGGACAAUGGGAGCAAGCCUGAUGCAGACAUGCCGCGUGUAUGAAGAAGGCCUUCGGGUUGGAAAGUACGUUCAGCGAGGAGGCGUUACUCGCAGAAGAAGCAACGGCUAACUCCGUGCCAGCAGCCGCGGUAAUAC